CGCCCACAUACAAUGAUGAAAUACAUGUAUUAUUUAUGUUUUCAUAUUAUAGAAUAUGCUAAUACUAACCAGAUGUUUUCAAUAAUUCGCAGUUAUCUUGUCGAUGCUUCGAACUAAAGAUUUGUACUGUAAAAAGGGCAAAUUAUAACAUAUCGCGCGAGCUAGGAAACUGUACUCGAAGGCAAUCAAUUGUUCCUCGUUUCGUGAAACAGUCACUGUAAUGGACGAUACAUUAUCUUUAUGACUGGUCGACAUUAGAGGGAAUUAAACAAUAUUAAAA